UUUGAGUUGCAUUUUUUUUUCGUAUUUUUAAUAACUUUGUUUUGCGUGGUUAUGUUUGCACCGUGAACCUUUACGUUUGUAUUAAUAAUCAUUUUCGCUAUAGUAAUUGAUUUAUAUUCAGUGCUUGAAGUGGGUCGGCACUCAGCGGUACCGGCAACUCUUCACAUUCCACAAGACGAGUUUCACGAGAGCUCCUCGAUUGUGCAUUGAAAACGAAAAAAAACUUUUACAAGCAUCUUGGAAACGCUUGAUCAGUUAUUGUAUCGUUGAGUAGGCUUUUGAUAAAGUUCAGACUGACUACAGUGGUGCACCAUGUUACUUUUUUUCUUUUCAGUUUAGUUCCUUAUGUUUCAGUAAUGUGUCUAAAUUGUAAUACCAAACAAUCUGCGACGUUUUUGUGCCGUCAAUUUUAAUAGAAUUUCGUGGUAGUUUUUUGCAGAUGAUGCCUGUCAUUUCUAAAUUGUUAAGACUUUCCUGCAAUGGUCAGUGCGCCACUGACUUGUUAUGUGACUCAGACUGACAGUCGCGAUGUUCACAGAGCCUUUCAGUUUAAUUACAAGUGACAUUUAUAUUUUUUUUCCUUUCAGGCAGCUUGCUACAAGAAUAUCUUCUGGAAAUUGGAUGUUAAUGAAAAAUCAGGCUGCUGUAUCUGAAAAGGUGUCAUCCAAAUGGUUUAAGGUCACCGGGUAAUGACCUCUGUACAGUAGAAGAUGAGGAGCUGACAGAUGGCCUCUACAACUACUUGAUGAGAUGCUGUGAAGAGCUGUAGGCACUUUUGUAAAGAUCAACAGAGUUCACGUCGUUCUGGAUGUGCUGAUGCUGGAGGCUCAUUUGUCUUCAGGGAAUCUCUGAUGAGUACAGAAUGUGUCUAUGUGAGUAAGAAGCAGAAGGUCUGUUCAUUGGUGGACCAGCAGAUGGUGAGUGGGACGUCAUUUGGUGUUGGGGGAGAGAGAGAGAGAGAUGGACCUUUCUUUUUCUUUUCAGCACCAUUCUUCUUUUAAUCAGAAUACCAUUUUACUUGUAGUGAAUUUAAACAAGAAUAUAAACUAAAUACAUAUAAAUGUAAAUAUAUGUUUAAAGUGAAAUUUAAAAUGUGCAUUAAUACACUUUUAGUACUGGUGAAAGUAAAUCUUUUUUUUUUUUUAAAGUGAGCGAAUUGUUUGACAGACUUGAGCUUCAACUGUUGGAGUACAAAGACAGACAGCAUCACUGAGGCUUCUCAACUUGGGAUUCCAUCUCAGCGCCUCCUCUGAUAAACGUGUCACUGGCUUUACUGGUCUUUGGCCUUUUUUAUUUUUGACUGUUAAACUGACUGUGCAUAAUAAUAGAGUUGUGUAGAUUUGAUUUAACAAUUGAUGUACAGUAAAUAAUAAAGGACACUUUGUUGAUUAAG